rnacentral:rRNA from 1 species
CCUACGGGUGGCAGCAGUGAGGAAUAUUGGUCAAUGGGCGUAAGCCUGAACCAGCCAAGUCGCGUGAGGGAUGAAGGUUCUAUGGAUCGUAAACUUCUUUUAUAAGGGGAUAAACUGCGGGACGUGUCCUAUUUUGAAAGUACCUUAUGAAUAAGGAUCGGCUAACUCCGUGCCAGCAGCCGCGGUAAUACGGAGGAUCCGAGCGUUAUCCGGAUUUAUUGGGUUUAAAGGGUGCGUAGGCGGCCUUUUAAGUCAGCGGUGAAAGUCUGUGGCUCAACCAUAGAAUUGCCUUUGAAACUGGGGGGCUUGAGUAUGUUUGAGGCGGGCGGAAGGCGUGGGGUAGCGGUGAAAUGCUUAGAUAUCACGCAGAACCCCGAUUGCGAAGGGAGCCUGCCAAGCCAUGACUGACGCUGAUGCACGAAAGCGUGGGGAUCAAACAGGAUUAGAUACCCUUGUAGUC